rnacentral:rRNA from 1 species
GGUUCGAUCCUGGCUCAGGAUGAACGCUGGCGGCGUGCUUAACACAUGCAAGUCGAACGGGAUCCAUCAGGCUUUGCUUGGUGGUGAGAGUGGCGAACGGGUGAGUAAUGCGUGACCGACCUGCCCCAUACACCGGAAUAGCUCCUGGAAACGGGUGGUAAUGCCGGAUGCUCCGACUCCUCGCAUGGGGUGUCGGGAAAGAUUAUAUCGGUAUGGGAUGGGGUCGCGUCCUAUCAGGUAGUCGGCGGGGUAACGGCCCACCGAGCCUACGACGGGUAGCCGGCCUGAGAGGGCGACCGGCCACAUUGGGACUGAGAUACGGCCCAGACUCCUACGGGAGGCAGCAGUGGGGAAUAUUGCACAAUGGGCGCAAGCCUGAUGCAGCGACGCCGCGUGCGGGAUGACGGCCUUCGGGUUGUAAACCGCUUUUGAUCGGGAGCAAGCCUUCGGGUGAGUGUACCUUUCGAAUAAGCACCGGCUAACUACGUGCCAGCAGCCGCGGUAAUACGUAGGGUGCAAGCGUUAUCCGGAAUUAUUGGGCGUAAAGGGCUCGUAGGCGGUUCGUCGCGUCCGGUGUGAAAGUCCAUCGCUUAACGGUGGAUCUGCGCCGGGUACGGGCGGGCUGGAGUGCGGUAGGGGAGACUGGAAUUCCCGGUGUAACGGUGGAAUGUGUAGAUAUCGGGAAGAACACCAAUGGCGAAGGCAGGUCUCUGGGCCGUUACUGACGCUGAGGAGCGAAAGCGUGGGGAGCGAACAGGAUUAGAUACCCUGGUAGUCCACGCCGUAAACGGUGGAUGCUGGAUGUGGGGCCCGUUCCACGGGUUCCGUGUCGGAGCUAACGCGUUAAGCAUCCCGCCUGGGGAGUACGGCCGCAAGGCUAAAACUCAAAGAAAUUGACGGGGGCCCGCACAAGCGGCGGAGCAUGCGGAUUAAUUCGAUGCAACGCGAAGAACCUUACCUGGGCUUGACAUGUUCCCGACAGCCGUAGAGAUAUGGCCUCCCUUCGGGGCGGGUUCACAGGUGGUGCAUGGUCGUCGUCAGCUCGUGUCGUGAGAUGUUGGGUUAAGUCCCGCAACGAGCGCAACCCUCGCCCUGUGUUGCCAGCACGUCAUGGUGGGAACUCACGGGGGACCGCCGGGGUCAACUCGGAGGAAGGUGGGGAUGACGUCAGAUCAUCAUGCCCCUUACGUCCAGGGCUUCACGCAUGCUACAAUGGCCGGUACAACGGGAUGCGACACGGCGACGUGGAGCGGAUCCCUGAAAACCGGUCUCAGUUCGGAUUGGAGUCUGCAACCCGACUCCAUGAAGGCGGAGUCGCUAGUAAUCGCGGAUCAGCAACGCCGCGGUGAAUGCGUUCCCGGGCCUUGUACACACCGCCCGUCAAGUCAUGAAAGUGGGUAGCACCCGAAGCCGGUGGCCUAACCCUUUGUGGAUGGAGCCGUCUAAGGUGAGACUCGUGAUUGGGACUAAGUCGUAACAAGGUAACC